CUCAUGUUUCUUUGUAAGUCAGAGCGAUUUUGUAUCACCCAAGCAACAAAGUGAUUUACCCAUGAAAGAGAGGGACAAUCUAUUCUAAUGGUUAAGAGGCAGUAAAAAAUAUUUAUGUGUGCCCGGCUGACGUUGACUUUUGGAGAGGGGGCGUUUUCUUGUAAGCUGAAAGCUGGGGGGAAAUGGAAGGCGGAGAGGCAGCCUUUGGGGUUCUAAUUCUGAACACGGAUCUUAGGGGGGGAAAUUCGCCAUUGUUUUGGUUUCAGAUUCUGCAUUUGUCAGAUGGAGUUGUUAGCUUGGAUUCUUCCAUCAGCAUCGCUGGGCGGAGUCGUAGCUGGUUUUCCUAAGGCCGAUUCUCAGACCGGGGGCUUGGAGAAAACAGCAGAUGGUUCUGUAUGCUUGUCUCGUUCUCCUGCCGGCAUCCUGCACCUCGCAGAGCCCUGCCCGCAGCCUUGGGUGUGCAGGAGAUUUAGGGCUGAUGGGUCGGAUUGUAAUCUGCGGGCACCCCGGCUGAUGAAUUGGUGGUAAAGCUUUGCUUCGUAAUAUUUGUACGGAAAAUGCAAUGUUUGCACAAUAAAGCUCUCCAGAUUUUUUAAGCCGUAGGAGUGAGGCCAGUUUACAAUCAAUGAUAACAGGUUUCCCGCGCUGCCAUUACCACAAAUAGUAUCUUAUUUCAGCAAAAUGGUGGCAGUCAGCGGGAGGUCCAACAAUGCAGAUUUUAAUCAGAAAAUUUAAUUUUAUAUACAAUUCACAGUUUGUGCGCGGUGAGAAAUGUUUCUCACUGCAUGAACUUUCAGGACUCGCCUCUGAGCAAAAGGAGUUUUCAAUUUAUGUAACGCCUUUCUCAGCAAACAAUGCCUCAAAGCACUUGCUGGUAAUAUAUGGCUCGUGCUGCUGCACGGGAAGCAACUGUAGCAGUCUUUCUUAAAAUUACCCAGGAUAUUUAUUUGGAGCAAUUAAAAGAAGCCCUGCAUUCCGCACACAUCCGUUUUUAAUGCAGACAUUAAAUUGGCCGAGGGUUCAACGUGCCGCCUCCCAGUCCGCUCUCUGCCCAGAUUUGCUCCCUUGUAUGGCAACUUUCCGCCUGGGCUCAUUUCAUUUUCCCAGUUAACUCGUAAACUCAGAAGAGAAGUCUAUAAUGUCGACAGGGCCUUUCCAGGAAGCGCCCUGGCUUCGGGGGAUUUGGAUGGCAGGCCGGCCCAGGAAGCGGUGGACAUCGGGAGGAGAGGAAGGUCGCAGGGCAGUUUCGCAGAUGACCCAAAAAUGCCAGUCCUUGACUACUUUGCUGUCGUUGAGCAGGAGCAGGGGCGAAAGGAUGCCAGGCUGCUUUCUCUAGAAGGGCACCCUCUCUCUGAGGGUGGGGGGAUGUCAUCACAUACUUGGUAAGAGCAGGCAAAGACAGAGUCAGAAAGAGGAGGCAGAGCUGGGAGGCAGAGCGGAGAGGCAGAAGCCACGGCUAAGCAUUACAGGACACGACCCUCCCGUUUGAGGAAGGGACAGGAAGUCGUGACUGAGUCGUCCAUACCAAGGUCCAGGGGGAGGAGGUAAUGAUAGUGGUUCCAGAAAUGGAAGGUCUUAGGUAAGUCAGCCCGUCAUUGAGAGGAGCCAGAGAAGGUGGGCAGGUGGGGUGCCAUCCGCCUGGGCCUGCCCUUGGUCCUGCCUGGAGAAGUUCCCUCUGCUUCUGGGAGCACAGCACCCCUCCAUCGUUCCCCAACAGGUCUGGGAUGGAGUCCUUGCAUGCACCUUGGGGAUCCCCUCGCGGCCCGUCCCCCAAGCUGGUCUUCACCUCCUCCCCCCGUGUUGGAGCCUACACACCCUUGAGUUCACAGUCUGGUGUUGGGGGAGGGGCAGUAACAGUGGCUUAAAUAGGAGCAUCCCAGCCCUGUUUUAUGUUAUGCUGGGACCUGGGAAGGAAGUCAAAGGCACCCGGCCUGGCUGGUGGGAAGAGAGCUCAGCAAUAUGGUGUGUGCCAUUUACUGGGAGCCUACUCCGUCACUGCAGCAGAGAGAGAGAGAGGUCCCAUUUUCUUGGGAAGAAUCCGAUUCGGAGGCUCACAGAAGUUAGGUGACUUGCUUAGCUGAGGUCACAGAGUUGGCUGGUGGCUGUGGACACAGGGAGGGCAGAGUGGGAGCCGCUCCAUUAGUGUUCUCUCAGGAGCGGGGCCUAGCAGCGCAUCUGGGGAGCUGGGCGUCAGUGCUGAGAGCAGGCAGUGAAACUGGGGCUCCGGCAGCAGGGUGCCUGGAAGGCAUCCCGUGUUCCCAGGGGAAAGAGAACCC
rnacentral:lncRNA from 1 species